rnacentral:tRNA from 1 species
AGCUCAGUGGUAGAGUGCUUGUCUACCAUGCAUGAGGUCCUGGGUUUGAUUCCCAG